UUUUUUUUUUUUUUUUUUGGUUACUUUUUUGGCCAUAGGAACCAAAUGACCGUGGAUAUAAGUUCCCUUUCAAUUCCCACCCAGAGUGCAUUAUUGAAAUGGCCCAGUAAGUUCAUUGUUGCAUUAGAAUGUUGGUGCGUAGACUUGGUCAAUCUGAGAUAAGAAAGAGAAACACACGGGGUAGACUGACAAAGGAGAGGGACAUCCUUUGUUUUGGUCAUUAUGCAAAUGCUCUGCUUUAGUCAUGUCUUUUACACCUUUUAUAGUCUGCUUUUUUUUCUUUUUAUUCCUUUUUAAUCAAAUCCUCUCUUACAAGUCUGUCUACUAGCGAGAAGAAAGCAGAAAAAGUUACCAAACAACUUGUGUAAUUAUUUUUCAAUGCCAACCCAACUGAUAAAUGUAAGCUGUAAUUUUUGGGGUUAGAUGCUGAGAAAUUGAAUUCCAGCUCCCCUUUAUGUCUUUUCUCUUUCUUGAUGGAAUUGAAUUCUAUCUUAGACGGUGAGUUCGCAUUCCUGUGAUCUUUUGUAGAUAUUCAAGAACAUUGAAAAUCAUCCCACAACUUUUUGCACAAGAAAUCAUCUCACAAAUUUUUGUUAAUUGUUUGAUAGUCAGUUAAUAACUCUCAAACAAUACAAGAUUGAGGAGACAUCAAGCCUCACUACCAUAACCAAAUUGAAUAUAGUCACUCGUAUACUUGCAUUGAGCCAACGACCUAUAGACCAAAAGUUAUGUGCAAUUCCUGAGGAUGGCUUUUGUGUCGAGUAGAAGGUGUGCUGAUGAAGUUUUGAUAGUUAAAGGUUGAAAUUUAAAAAAUUAAAGGUGCUGAUUUCAAAUCCCUCACCUCCUUCCUUGUUUUAGAAUUUCCACUCCUCUCUUAUUAGGAAAAAUUAAAAAGCAAAAGUGAAAGUAGGAGUCGGUAUAAAUUAAACUUAUCGUGUUUAAAAUAUGAUAAAAAAAAAUUCAUCAGAACGUGUGCUUUACCCUUUAUCUCUUUCAAAAUCUCUGCUCAAUGAGAUAUUAGGGAUAAAGUUAAAAGUUAGUCAAAUUAAUCUAAAAAAUCUAAAAUGCAUCAAACAAAAUGUGUCUGGCCAUCUACCAUGGAUGACUAUAUGGUUGUCGGUUGCUUUUCAAUCCCACCCGCACUGAAUUUUUAUUUUAUUUUAUUUUUUUUUUGUCAAAACCCACACUGAAUUAUUGAAAUGGCCUGGUAAGUUCAUUAUUGCUUCAGACUUGUGAGCAUAGCAUUGGCCACCACAAAAAUCAAAAUAGAAAGACGCAUGGAUAGAUUCAGUCAUCCCUUGUCUAGUCAAAGUCUUUCACACUUUUCCUUGCUCAGCUUAGUUGUUUUUUCAUACGAGUCUGUAGACUCGUGAAAAGAGGCAAAAAUUUUGGUAGAUCAGAUUUAUGACUCUAUCUGUGUAUUAAGUGGUUUAAAAUUUAUCAUAUCAUCUUAUUAACUCAAGCAUUAUAUGCACGACGAAGAAGAUAUGGCAAAAUUUAGACCAAACUUUUUCCUGAGCAAAGAAAGCUACCAAACACUCAAUGGGUGAAAUUCUAUACCAAUGCUAGUCCAAACAGUAAAUGUAAGCUGUAAUUUUUCAAGGUUAGACUAAAAACACAAAAAUAAAAAAAGCCUAAAAACAAAAACAAAAAACAAAAGACGCGUCUACCAUGGAUGACCGUGGAAAUGGUUGUAAGGUCCAUUUCAAUCCACCAGAGUGAAUUAUUGAAAUGGCCCAGUGAAUUCAGUAUUGCUUCAGACUUCUGAGCACUGCCUCAAUCAAUCUGACAUAAUGGCAAUCCAGUGCAAGUACCGGCCACCGCAAGAUAGAAAUACACAUGGAUCGUACAGGUUUGUCUACUUACGAAAAAGAAAAUAGAUAAAGGUGCCAACAACAAAUGCGUGUAAUUCUUUUUCAAUGCUAGCUUAAUUAGUAAAUGCAAGCUGUAAUUUUUUCAGGGUUAGAUGCUGAGAAAUUGAAUUCCAGCUACCUUUUUUUCUUUUUCUUUUUCUCGAUGAAAUUGAAUUCCAUCUUUGACCGUCAAUUCACAUGCCUUGUUCUUUUAUAGACAUUCAGAAACAUUAAAAAUCAUCCUGUAUUGCUUAAGAAUUUGGGAAUUAAUUAGUACAUAUUACUUAUUAUCUCUUUCAUAUGGAUUUUCUAGCUUUAAGAAGCUAAAUGUGCUAGUACACUUUUCUAAAGCAUUGUGAGCAUAGGAACUUCCAAAGUAAUACGAAACAUUUGCUGACUGUGAAUUUUAGAAGUUUUUUUCAUGUAAAUCAUGUGCAUGGUGAAUAUUACGAAUUACUCCCUCCGUCCCAUUUUAAUAGUCAUGUUUUCUUUUUUCGUCCAUCCCAAAUUAUAAUCCACUUUCCAAUUAAAAAAUGUAAUUGUCUUUUAAUUUCUCUAACAUAUCCUUAUUUAAUGUAAGUUGUUAUUAUUAUAAACUACCUUAUUUAAUAUAGAUUGUUAAUAUUGAAUAUAACAUACCCCAUUUAAUGUAUUUAGAUUUUUCAAAACAUAUCAAUAUAUGAAAAAUCAACUUUAUUUAAUGUAAGGGUAUUUUAGAAAAAUAGUAAUCUAAAAUUGUUUUUUCAACAAAAUUAACUAUUUUUUUAAACUGUGUGAAAAAAAAUUAAAAUUAUCAAAAUGGAACAGAGGGAGUAGUAUUGUUUUCCCCUCUGAUAGGGUGUUAAUUGUUAGUCAUUUUCUUGUUGACUUCCCUCAUUAUUUGUGCCAAAUAUUUUGUUAAUUGUCGGAUUCUAUUUAUAAUUGGCAUUUAGCCAUAAUUGCAGGGGUGGAGUACAAAAUUCUGAAAAGUGAAAGAUGAGACGUGCAAAUAUGCAAAGAGUUACAAGUUGACUCCAAUUGAAGGACAAAAGUUUCCUAUUCUGGUAGUCGUGUGGUGCGUUGGCAGUAGGAAACCAAAAAGGAAGAAGACUCUUUGUAAUUAGUCCCUAGAGAUUCGGAGAGGACAACCAACUAGAGAGGUUGCCUUGAAAAAGGAAAUUCUUUGUUAGGAAGAUAGCUUGGUUCUUUUGUCUUUUGUCCCGUUUCUUCGUUUCUUCAUUUUUGUUUUUUCCGUUUGUUCUAUUAGGACUACUGGAACACAGUUUUAUUAUUCUUCUUGAUUAUUAGAGAAAAGGAGAUGCCUUUGAAAUCGAUUGAAUUGCAUGGAAAUUUUCUUAUGAGACGUGGCUGAGCUCUUCAUAUAAUCAAGGGUCAACGUGAUGACGCAGUUCUGAAUAUCUGUGAGAUCAAAUUAGUUUUCAUAGGUUCCUUAAUUUGUUGAUAUUUGCACGUUUUCUAAUUGAAUUUCUGUGAGAUUAUUUUGUUAAUUGGAUGUCAAAGGUCCGAUAUUCAAGGUGACUUGUUAAUCUCCUGCCAAAUUGAUCAAUUAAAUCCGUACUUGUUUAAUCGAUUAAUAUCAGUGGCAACUAGUGCUUAUAUACACCAGGAGAACGUACGAUCUGAUCUAAAUAACUCUUGUAGCGUGUUAUUGAUUAGGGUUAGGCUUUUCUGAUUCUUAAUGCAAUUAGGAAAUUAACUCCUACGAUCGUACCUAGGGGUGUUUCUUGGUUAGGGGUAAUUAAUGGUCAUACCUUGGUUAUCAAUAAACUAAGGAAAGGCUGAUCGUCAAAACUCGUCGGCAACUAUAACUAACCUAUUGAUAAAUUAAGUAAAUCCCCCUUGCAUCGAUGAUCGGAUGAGCGGACUGUGUCUGAGAAAUUGUAUCCUUAGCUAAACUUUGUCUAUUAUUGAUUUAAUUCCUGUCUACAUUCGUAUUAGUUAAUUGUUUGUUUUUUGUUGAAUUGUUUAAUUGUUCUUAUCUUUAUUCCAAUAAAAACCCCCGCAUCCCGAACUUGGAAAGAAACGAAUUCUCCCCAAUCCCUGAGGAUACGACCCUACUUGCCCUGUUUACGAAUUAAUAAUUCCUUGUGAAUAAGCAAUCACAUUCUGGUAUAUCGGAUUAAGUAAAUUCUUCGGGAACAGGGUGAAUCAAGUAACCCAUUGCACACCUAGAGUCCCUGCUCCAGUACUCAGAAUUGGGUUUUGAUUACUCCGAUUGACAACUAGGUUUAUUUUUAUUAUUGUACAGGCAUCGACAACCUGUCACCCUCUCGUGGCACGGGAGUAUAAAGGGCAAUCCUCUACGUUCAUGUAGUUGAAUAUUAAUGGUUAUAACAUGUUUAAAUUAUAUCCAUUCAUUUAGUUGAAUAAUUCUUUUGACAAAAAAUUAUAAUUUCAUUUAUGAAAUCUACAUUAAUACUAGAAAAUAAAUCAAACGUACCAAAUGUACAGUAGAUCUGAAGAUCUACAGAUCCAAGAAAUAAAUAUUAAUUAUAUUCUGAAAUUGCAACACAUUCCAACUUGACAUCAAUCACCUCAAACUCAAUAAAUAUCUGUGCAUGUUACUUCUAGAUCUUUUAUUAGACUAUUUUAAAUUAAACAUCUAGUUGAGACCUAACAAAAUCUUGAAAGCUAUUAAAUUAAAUAGGGAUUUUAACAUUUUUAAAACAGGGAAACAAAUGACCAGUUUACAUUAGCAAAUAUUUUGCUGCCAUUUUGCCAAAACACUGAUAACAUGUCCAAUUGCAUGCCCCUUUAGCUUUGUAAUUAACUAUUUAUGAACUAAUUUCUUUUUUUUCUUUUUACUUUGUAAUCUUUUUUUUUAGUGUGAGUAAGAGGAUUUGAAUUCAAAAUUUCUCACUUACAUUCCCUUCCCAUGAUCCAAUAAAUUCAUCCCUUCCCCCUUCUUGCUCUGUAAUCAAGUCUUUGUGGACUAGUUUCAUCUUCUUUUGUAUUCUUUUCAAGCUAACCUCUACCAAAACCAGAAACCCAAAAAACUUGCUUCACUUCUCUAUUUGCAAGCCACCUGGGAUACCUCUUAUUACGAAGCAAAAGGAAAGUGUUGGAUAUUUUAAUAAAAAAUAUCACAUGUUUAUUUUGAAUUCAAAUACAGUAAGUUGUUAGAAAAUUGGCUUAAUUUCUUUUAAGCAGGUUUCUUAUUUUGUGUAGAAGUAACUAGUUUCCUAAUUGGUUUUAGUUACUUGAAGUUGUAGCCAAUGAAUUUCCUAUUUUGUUUAGAAUUAGAAGUUAUUUCCUAUUCUGUACAAGUCUAGAAAUUAGAAUUGGUUUCUUAUUGUUAUUUGGAUUUUUAGCCAAAUAAUGUUUCGUAUAAAUAGGUAUCAGAGUUUGGUUGCGAGACUGGGGUGCUCAAAAGUACUUGGAUCCCAACAAAGUGAAUGGUUGGAUCAAAAAUUUGGUUAUUCAAGUUUGGAUUCUGGUUAACUAUUGAGAUCAAGUGGAUUAAUAAUUGUUACAAAUUGAAUAAUUUAAUGGGUGAUAUCUUUGUUUUAAUCGCUUGGCAAGAAGCAUUGACGGUGAAGGAUGGAAAGUCGAAAAGCAUGGAGAUACUUAACGGUGAAUCUAGACAGGUGAUUCAAGAGUCAAGGAAAAAGUGGAGUCCAAUGUUAAUUUUGGACGUAAUCGGUGGAGACUUUCUCACACCUCCAACGGUUGAUAUUACAUCCCGUGGCUUUUAGAUCGAGGUUAUGUUCUUUGGGUGGUGUGGCACGUGUCCCAAAAAAACAAAGAGAUCUAAUUUCCGUGCGUCAAAAAACUCUGACAGUUACGAGUUUUUUAUUUUAGGUGGAGUCUUGGAAACCACACGUGAUGAGACAGUCCUGAGGAUGAGAAGAAAUAUGAUGAUUUUACCACUUAAUUGCCUCAAUGAUUAGGGUUAGAGCUCACAAAAGGGGAUCCCAUGUUGCAAGUGGUGGUGAGAAGUCCUGCAAAGGGAAAUAGUGAAUUGAGCCACCUUCUUACGAGUCAACUAGAGGUUGAACUCCAGGUAACUACACAUGUUUAUUUGCCGAUUGAAUCAAUUUAGAUUGAUGCUAGAAUCAUUGAAAAAACCAAUGCCCGAAGUUGAGAGUAGGGAAGCCAAAGUUAAUCGGCUUAAGGAAUUGUUGGAUGGUAAAAAGUAUCUACUGGUCUUGGAUGAUGUUUGGAAUAAAGAGUCCGCACUAUGGAAUGAGUUUAUUGGGUCUUUGAGGGGUACUAGCCAAGCCAUGAGGAGCUGGAUUCUUGUGACCACUCGUGACCAACAAGUGGUAGACAUCAUGAAAAUUUCUUCUCAUCAAGAGUAUUCAUUGAAAGAAUUAUUAGAUCAUCAAUGUUGGCUGAUUCUCAAAGAAAAUGCAUUUGGCACUAGGCAAGUGCCAAAUAGGCUGCAAGAUAUAGGGUUCAAGAUUGCGCAAAAAUGUCGAGGCUUACCAUUAGCUGCAAGCGUUCUCGGUGGCAUGCUGUGCGACAAGGGAAUAGAUGAAUGACAAACUUUAGAGAGUAGGCUUCAAAGUUUAGGUGUAGGUGAAAAUACUGCCGUUGAUAAAAUUUUGAAGUUGAGCUUUGAUCAUCUUCCAUAUCCAACUCUUCAAAAGUGUCUUGCAUAUUGUUCAAUUUUUCCUAAGGAUUUUGAAAUGGAAAGGAAUCAACUGAUCCAACUUUGGGCGGCAGAAGGAUUUCUUCAUUCAAAUCAAAUAAACAAUAUGUGUAUGGAGGAGGUUGGUAACAUGUAUUUUACCAUUUUGUUGGAUAGUAACUUGUUUCAAGAUGCAGAGAAGGAUGAGAAUGGAAAUGUUUUGAAUUGCAAAAUGCAUGAUCUUGUGCAUGAUAUGGUGCAAUCCAUUUCCAGUUCUAAAACUUUAAGGUUGACAGAGUCUGGAAGUGAUGAUAAGGAGACGUUUCCCAUUCAGUAUCUUGCACUAGAGAGAAGUGAAAAAGAAAUGCCAUUUCCUCCCUCUGAAAGGUUCAAGUGUAUUACAACAUUUUUUUUGUUGGAAGACAGAUCACUUAAUGAUAGAGAAAUAUCAUUUUUUAUGUUGCGAGUUUUGACCUUAAGGUCAUCAAGUGUCAAGGAGCUUCCUAAAUCAAUUGGCAAGGUAACUCAUUUGCGAUACCUUGAUUUAUCAAGAACUUCAAUCAAAACAAAGCCAGACUCUCUUUGUCGACUUUAUAAUUUGCAGACAUUAAGAGUUGGAUAUUGCAAAUCAAUGACAAAGUUUCCACACAAUUUCAAGAAUUUGGUGAAUUUGAGGCACUUUGAACUACAAAAUUGCACAAAGUGCAAAGAGUUACCAACUGUUGGACACAUGCCCUCCCUCAGAUCUCUUCAUUUGGAAGGACUUGAUCGCAUAACAAAGCAUAGGGCCUUCUUUUUGUGGAGAAUUAGCCCUGCAUAGUGGCACUAGCGAUCAAAGUCCCCUAAAAUUGUUUCCAAAACUUGGAUAUUUCAUUGUAAAAGGCAUGCUAAAUUUAACUGAAUGGACGAAAGCAAUCAUCCAUGAUAGAACAGUGGUGGGUUUUCCUAUCCUUGAGAUGAUGAAGAUUGAUAACUCCCCUCAAUUAGCCACUUUUCCAACUCAUUUUCCAAGUCUCAAGAAAUUACACAUCUAUCGGACCAAGAAUGGAUCAGCAGUAAUGGCAUAUAUUUGUAGCGGAGUUAGCACUCUCACUAGUCUUCACAUUGAGUAUGUGAAUGGGCUCAUCAAACUACCAAUUAUGUUAUUUCAAAACAAUCCAAAUCUUGCAUGUCUUCAUUUAAAUUCUUCUCAUGAUUUGACCAAAUUCUUGGAUUUUACAUUUGAUCUUCAUCAAACUUUAGAAGGUCCAGAUUCCCAAACAAUACUUGAGCUGAGCCAACCACACACUUGUAUUGACAAUAAUGCUACUCAACGUUUGGUUGGUCUUGAGUCCCUAGAGAAAUUAGCCGUUUGUGGCUGCAAUUCACUCAAGUCGAUUUCAAUCCCCAAGGGAUAUAAAUACCUCAGUGCCUUACGAGAAUUAGAAAUUUGCUGGUGCAAUGGGUUGACCCACUUGUCCCUCCCCCAGAUAUCUGGGCUAAUUUCUCAGAAUAUAUCCCAAAAAAAAAAGUCGGUGAAAUGUAUGUCUGACAAGGGUUAUGUACAAAAUUAUACCUACCGUGCUGACUGGGCACGGCAGGAAAUAGUUUUUUUUUAAUCGCUGUAGGGUAGCAGUGGCUACAAAUUUUUUUUAGAAAAAGUCAGCCGCCACCGACAAUUAGAAAAAGUUGUCAGUCGCUACCGUGCUGACUCAGCACGGUAGCAACUGACAACUAUGCACUGUCUCGGCCGCUACUAAGGGCUAGAAUCCGUAAUUUUAGACCAAGGGCUUGCACAUGGAAUGGCCCACUUAGCAUCAGCCAAUGUGCCCUACCUUCCCCUGGCAACUAGUGGACCUCUCCAGCAUAUAGUCAACUUAGCUUUGCCAAACUAGGACAGAUGAAUUGGAUCAGACAAAAAUACAUGACCUAUGACUACUGCAAAGAUACCAAGCGAUUCAAUGGACUAAUGCCAGCUGAGUUUUUGUAGGCACAGUAUUAGAAAUGAGGAUCAAUACUUAGCAGAAUAACCACCCUCAGUUUAUGGGGUAAUUUGACAAUAAAUCACACAUGUAUUCCUGUUUAAUUUUCUUGAUUUUAAUUCCCUGGAGAUAUUCCACAUGUUUAAAUUAUUAUUUUGAUGCAAAUUUGGAUUUUAAUUGGUUUCAGAAUGUAUUUUUCCAGUUUUUUCCUUUCCAAGUUGCAGAUCACAAUUUCUUUAUUUUUUGAAAAAUGAUUGUCCAUUUUCUUCAUGUUUUCCGAAGUUCAAGAGCUAUGUUUUGUGCUUUAAGGGUCGAAUUUCACUUACCAUUAAAUAGACUCAUACCACCAGCCAGAAACAAGAGAAGAAAAAUGCCUUUUAAUUCAUGGUCCUGAGGUUUUAUGUUCCCAAAUCAAGGACAGAGUAGAAACCACAAAGUUGGACAGUUAUUAGACAAGUUUGCAGUACACAGACAGAGCAUAGACAAAAUUAUAUUGAAGGAUAUAAAAUUUUAAGCAACUUUGUAGGUAAUCCUGAAUCAUAGAAUGAUAAAAUUAAGUAGUCACUAUUGAGCAACUACAAGUUUGCAACAUCAGCAACAUCAAUGGCAAAUCCACCGGCAAGAUCAGACUUAAGUACCAGAUUACAGAUAUGACCAUUUUUAAUUAUCUAAAUAAUUUCAAUACCGGUGAUUGUUUUAGCCUGUUGUGAACUGUUACUUCAAAUAUGAAAAAUAAUGGAAAGCUAAUCUUUGACUCAUAAAAUCUCAAGAUUACCAAAGCCGCAAGGCAAAUUUGCAACUUUAUGCCAAAAAAUACAUACUGCACUUCGUAUGUUGACAUGAUGCAGAAUGAUAGUCUAACAAAUUCAAAUGCACACAGCACAUUAAAACCAUAGGAAAAGGUUUGAUCGCUCAAUUCUCCCUUUCCUUCUUUUCCUUUUUUUUUUUGGUUAGUUUCCAAUCUUGAGAAUACAAAAUUUGGAAAGGAAGAAGCUAGAAGGGGAUGGGGAAGAUGAAAAUUGAACCAUUCUUCUAAGAGGAGGAACAAAAAUCCCUCUGUUUGACCACUUACUUGCCAAAACUAUACUACCAAGAACAUCAAACUCUUAGUCUGAGAAACAAUCCAUGGUAGACAAAAAGAUCAAGAAGCAAAUGCAAAAGGACGGAUAUAACCCAGUGUUGUUAAAAUCGCGAUCCGGAUUAUAGGAUCAUACGAUCUGGAUAACCAAAAUCGAUCUGGAUCGCAUGUAGAAUCGCAAAUUGCAUUAAUCCGCAUAGGAUCGAGUAGGAUCGAUAGAAUCGUAUAGAAUGGUACGAUUCUACGAUCCUACAAAUUUUUACUAAUUUGUGAAAUACGAGACUUCAUUUUGCAAGUAAAUGAAAACAUUUGAGGUGGGGUUGUAAUUUGUCAAAGAAUUGCAGCCUUUAAUUGCAAUGUUUUAACAAUUUUUGCCACAAAAAGUCAAAAAAGCUCCGAUUCUUCUCAUCUUCUCCUCUCUGUCGUUUCUUUACUUCUUUAUUCUUCAGUCUUCACUUUUCACUUCUUCUCAACCGCUGAUCAGAAUCCUAGUUUGUCCAUCAAACCACCACCGCUGCAGCUCCGGAUCAAUAAGAUGAAAUCGCUGCGGCUUCUACCAAGUACCAACAAGCUACAGUUUCAAGGCUUCAAGCCAGAUUUUGGCGGCUUCAAGACGAAAUCUCCUAUUGCCGCCGGAUUUUGGCACCUUCAAGAUGAAAUUCUAGAUAUCAAUAGUAAUUAAUCAAGCACAAACAAAAGCAAGAGAACAAAAAGAAAGAAAGAAAGAAAUGCUAUAAUGGACGAUCAACUCACAAUUGUGCCAGAUGUUCUUUGCUACAUUUUCAGCUCUAUGGCUCCAAGAAUUGAACAUAUGAAUCACAGAUUCACAAGGGUUCUCGCUAGGCUUGACCACAGGUGAGUAAACAACGUAGGGGUGGUGUUGAUUGACCCAUGAGGCUGCCCUCUGAUUGUCUGGAUGAGUUGUUGGAGCUGCUGGUUGACCCAUGAUACGAGUGCCCCACUUGGCCUGAUCCUCAUCCUAGUUUUUCAUGUUUGUUUAAAUUUGACAGAUGACAUUUUAGUAGUUAAUUUUGAUAUUGAAAAUCUUGGAUUUGGAUGUUUGGCUUUUUAGUAUUUGUGGAGGUUGAUGAUUAUUUUAUAUUUGAAAUUAUGAUUGUGUAAACUGUAAAGCAUUUAGUUUUAAGACUUGAAAUCAUGACCGAUAACAGGUUUAUGUUUUCUUCUUUAUUACUUGUCAGAUAGUAAGUAAAAAAUGCUAUAUAUUUAUGAGUAAAUUGUUUAUUUGAUAUCUUUUAGGAUGUACAAAAUGGUAUAUGAAUUUUAAAUUCAUUUAUUUAGUAAAUUUAGGAGCUUUUGAUGGGAUCUUACAAUCCUACGAUCCGAUUCUGUAAAACUAAAAUUGAUCCACGUAGAAUCCCGAUUUUACAGACCUUGAUAUAACCAUUUCCGUCAAACGCUGGCACUUUUUUGUUUUUGAUGUAUGUCCCCUGUCGUGCUGACUGUGCAUGAUAGGAGACAGGCGGUUUUUAAAAAAAAUUUAGGCAGCUGCUACUAUGCACAGUCAACAUGGCAACAGCUGACCUUUUUCGAAAAAAAAAAAUUUGUGACCCAAUGAUUUAAAAAAUUUAUUUUGCUGCAGUUAUAGUUUGAGAAACACCUUAUUAGAGCGUCAUUUGGCGGAUUUUUUUUUUUUCACGUACAUUCUGAGAAAUUAGCUAGAUAUCUGAGUCAGAGUGGAAUUCCACUUCUUCGCCCUCUCUUUCGGGUACCUGUCUUCCUCCUCUUCUAGUUCUGCCUAUUGAGAAAUUGCGAGUACACGAAUGCAACAAUCUUAUCUCCUUUCCAAUUGAUUUAACCCCAAUACCUUCUCUCUCUUUCCUAUUCAUAUCACCUUGUCCCGAAUUAACGGACUUGCCCAAGGGGAAGCUUUGUUCUCUUAGAAGCUUGAGAAGCUUAACGAUUGGACCAUUCUCAGAAACCACAGAGCUGCAUUCCUUCCUAAACCUCUUUGAUGCUCUCCAACCACCCCACCACUAUUUCCCCUCCCUUUCAAGUUUAAGUCUGGAUGGAUGGCCUCAUUGGGAAUCUCUGCCUGAGCAACUUCAGCACCUCUCUGCGCUAACACGUUUGCAACUAGGUGGUUUUGGAGUAAAAUCAUUGCCCGAUUGGUUUGGGAAGCUUUCAUCACUUGAACAUCUUUGGCUCCGUGGAUGUGAAAAGUUAGAGAAUUUACCCUCUCACCAAUCAAUGAGAAAACUCACCAAACUAAUAUGGUUGGAGAUUAGCGACUGUCCCCUUCUAAUGAGAAGAUACAAACCAGAGAGUAGCAGUAACGCACCACCAACCCCAAUUCUGAGUGGUCCAAGAUGUGCCAUAUUCCCAAAAUUGCAAUUGAUGGGUGGUUGCCGAAGUAGUGGCCGAACUCCAUUUGACAUGACAUAAAUAAUGCCAGUUUCCCUAAUUACAACUACUAGGAAAUCCUCUGUACUACUACACAGUUUUUCAAUUAAUUUUACUUCUGCUAUCCAUCUUUAUUUCUUUACCCUUAAAAUCAUUUAUUACUAUUGACAGGAAUAAUGUAUCGAUAAUGUUUGUUAAUGGAAUCUUUAAUCGUGCAGCCUAACUUUUGCUAUAUAACUGUUGCAAACCUAUCCUUUCUUGGUCCUCUAAAUUUCUACUUUCCAGGUAACCUCUAUGUUUAUGUGCUUGUGUGUUUUCUUCUAUUUUCACGAUUCUCAUUUAUGAUCCACUAUCCUUUUUACUUCCUCUAGUAUUUGUUUGAACUUCAUUAACGAAAAUUUUUUUUUGCUAUCAACAUUUAUGUUAUAUGGUGAGAAAGCUAGCUAGCUGCACAUCCUUUCCAAUACAAAUUUCAAAAUUUUGCAGUUUUUAAUGGGUAGCAUACAUUUCCCAAUUCAGUGCUGUGAAUUAGGCUAGUUUUCCAACAUAUCCACCUUUUAUUUUUUUAAAAAAAUUCAUCUUAUUUUCUUUCUACUUUGUUGGAGCACUUAGUACAUAUGUUAUAUAUUGAUCAUUUAUCUCCAUCUGUAUUUUUAAUUGCAUUGUCAAUUAUUUGGUUUGUUGCUUAAUUCAGUUUUGGACUCAUAUUCAGUAGUGAAAGUUUCAGACUAGCAAAGUUUUGCCUUUUGGUCAAACAAAUGACUAGACUGAGAGAAAUAAUAGCAUUACUCAAAAUUAACAGGUUUUGAGUAUAGCGUUUUUGUAUUCAGCCAAGAGUAUGCAGUAACUACUUACAAUUAGAAAUUUUGACAUAAGCAAUGUGUUUGUCAGAUUGUAAUGACUGACAACAAAAAUAGCCAACUAGCACAAUGAUAUUACUUAAGCUUUAAGAAUGUUUUACAUAAGAAUGACCGUGGAGUAGCUCGGUGAAUCAUAUAAUUAUAGAUACUUGAGCAUGUCUUUCUAGUAAAAGAUUUGUAGUUCAAUGAGCAAAGUGAUAAUAUUUUUGAGCACUGAUCAGUGAUGCAAAGUAUUCCAUUCAGAUGAGAAAUUCCACAUAUUUGCUGAAACUAAGAGCUUUUUCCUCAAAAUGUUAAAUUUUUUUCCCUUGUCAAACAAUACACUUCAUAGAGUAAGCUUAACUCACCAUGUUUACACUGAGAUUCUGAACUUAGCAUGAUUGUGAACAUGCUUUUGAUCCUAUGUCACUUUGUUGGAAAAAAAUUGCAAUAGUACCAAGAGAUUGCUAGCCUUUCAAGUAAUGAACUUAAUCAAGGUCAAUAUUUCAAGUGAUUAGUAUAACACACUUGGGCCCUUAAUUUGUUCUGAACUUAGCUCAAGGCCAUUGAAUAGUUUGUUAGAGCUUUUGUUUCUUUUGCUAUUUAUGCUAUAGGAAAAAAAUGCUAAAAUCUAUCUUUCACUACUUAGGAACAUGGUGGUCACUAUGUUGUGUUGUCUAGCAAAGUAUUUGAUAAUCAUCUUACGUUGUCUGUCUGCUUUUAUGUUUAAUUAUUUUUCAAUUUAUGAUCUUUUUCUUUAUAUGGUAAAAGGUAUAUUGGAACAAAAGUCUUCAACUAUCACGGUUUACUAUUAUAUGGUGAUGCAGAUAAGUACCUACAUAUUCUUGAGCAUGCAAAAAAUGAGGGGCUGUUUGCUUGGCGAGAGCUUUCUAGUUUCAAAUUAGAUCCAUCAGGGCACUCUCAAAAGGAACUCUUUCUUCUUCUUUAUAUGGUGAUGGUUUAGGUACAAUUCAGCAUUCCCAUAAUGCUUUUUAUUUUCCUAUAUUCAAUUGCUCUGCAGCUUUGAUCUAAUGGCAUCUUUUCUUUUGUUGUAGGCAUACCAAGUUUAGUUUUAGAAUCCACAAUGAAGCAUUUGUAAAAACACGUGGAAUAGUAUAAAAGGCUGAUGGUGUAAAAGAUUUUUUCGAGGCUUAGACAUGCAGCAACAAAGAUUAUUCGAGCUGGCUACGAGGACUCUCUUGCAUGAGGUAACACUUCUCUUUCUGAUGAACAAUUUAUGAUUCAGGAAAACGUUAUCUAGCUUCAAAGGCAAUUAGAAGGAGCAAUGAGAUGAAAUUCUACAUAAUCACAUUCAUAAGUAUCAGGAAUACAUCUUUUCAAAACUCACCUUCAGACCCCUCCCCCUAAAGGCACUACUUUCUGUAUUCUUCUUGAGUAAUAUAUCCCUAAUUUUCUGACAUGAAUGAAACUGUAAAUAGCAACUUUUUCAGUUAUUAGCACCUUAAAUAUGAAGAAAUAUCAAGAAAUAGUGUUGCUCUUUAGAUGAUUGAAUAGUCAAGUAGUGCCUUGAAGCAGUUGCUUGAUAUGUUAUCGAAAUAGAGCUAUUUGGUGUAAUAAUAGGCAAUUUUCUUUUGAUCAACCUUGUUGGUAGUACAAUCAAUGUGGAUGGCAUCCUCCUGGUGAAAGAGAGUAUCCAUGUCUUGUCAGGGGAACUUAUUAUGCAAAAUACUUGGUUAGUUAGUUUUCCGUUGCAAAAAUUCAAAUUGCUUUCGUAAUCAUGCUAAAAUUACAAAAAAACAAAUAAAGAGAUAAAUAAAUAAAUAAAUAAGAAAAAAAUGAACCACCUCAAAGUAUUCUAGUUCCUAUCUACUAAUAAAAACUCAACCUUGAAAAUCAGCUUUAAGGAUGAUAUGUAACUUUGUUACAUUUAAUGACUGCACAAAUAACCUGUGAAAUUAAUAAUGUGCAUUAUCUCCAUUAAGUAGCUAUGGGGGAAGAAAUAUCAAGAAAAUGCCAUUUAAUUAUCAAGAAAUAUCAUUUGUCUAGAUUAGUAUUUGUAGUCUCUUGCAAAUUUAGUAUUUUCAAUUAUUUAGAGAAUUCUUACAAAAUUAGUUUUGCGAUUUUCAAAGUUGCAAUUGUUUAAAAAUUUUGGGAAGAAUUUGGUACCUGAAUGCUACCGUCAUUCUGUAAUGUUCAUGUCCUUUUUCUUUUUAUUUGUUAGGGUAAAUUACAUUUUACCCCCCUGUGGUUUACCCCUUUUUUACAUAACCCCCCUAUGGUUUCAAAAGCUAUACAUAACCCCCUCAUAGUUUGGAUUAAAGUGUCAAAGUAACAGAAAUAGUCACUUGUAACGGAACUUUUAAAAAUGUCGAAAUUACCCUUAUAAAUACAUGACACAUUAACCCCCUAUGAUUUUUAUAUUUUACCAUAUAACCCCCUUAUAGUUUAAUACUUUACCAUAUAACCCCCUUAUGAUUUUCAAAAUAUACACAUAACCCCCCUUGGUUAAUACAUAAAUUUCAACCUUACAUAAGGGUAUUUUUGACAUUUUAGGUGAUGCCGUUACGAGUGACUAUUUCCGUUACUUUGACACUUUAAUCCAAACCAUAAGGGGGUUAUGUAUAGCUUUUGAAACCAUAGGGGGGUUAUGUGAAAAACGCUAAACCACAAGGGGGUAAAGUAGAAUUUGCCCUAUUUGUUAUUCAUUGUGCAUGUGGUUGUGGACUUUGAUUUUGAAUUUCAAGAAUGCAAGGACCAUUCCUAUUGAAACAAGUUGUCUUAUUAACAUAUAGUCAAAAGAGCCUUGAGCCUCUUGGAGUUUCGUCGUCCCUUGCAAGCGUAUGUCACGUGACUAAAUUCUUUUACUCAGCAAGCACUUAUUUAGUCAGAUCCAUUUGGUUGCUGCACUUUGACCGUAUGGCUUUUCCCCUUGUUCUAAAAGUCUUCCACGUUGACAGCAGCGCCGCUUCAUUUUAGCCUACAAGCAUCCUCAGAUUCAGGCUCUUGCAACCGAUACAUAGCUUUCCUUUCUAACCACCACACCCAGAUUAUCAGGCCACAAUCCUUCCGUACCGAUCUUUUCGUCACCAACUUUCCAACGUCAAACUUUCCCCCUUUUCUUCUGGUUGUACGACACAGCCGAUUCUAUUGGGUUUCCUUCCAUUACCCCUACUGGUGAUUUUUUCCUCGUUUGUUUGUUGUCUUCUCAACAUUCAUCCUUGGAUGGGUUAUAUAAGUAAUUUAGUCUGGAUGUAAUGAAAAAGCUUAGAGCUGAUUUACAGGACAAGCUAUUUCCGUACUUGUGUGCCUGCUAUCUGAAGUGGUCGCUGAUGGCUGGUUUAAUUGGAGUGAACGUUCAUGUGUCAGAGGUAGCUGUUGCUAAUUCAAGCUUUCUUUUGGCUAUAUGUUAAUUAUUGAAGCGCUCUUUUGUUCAUUCUUUCUUUGUGCUUCCUCUGCCUUUGUUGUUGCUCUUGCUCUCAUUAUUCUUCAGCCUUCCUCCUUCUUCCGCUAUUGGUCUUUCGCUUGUUUUUAUUAUUGCUCCUUCUAGUGGCUUGCCUGUAUCAGAUUCUGCUGCUUUCUACUUAUAUUGCUAGUAAUUUACCGGAUUUUUCCUUUCCUUCUUUUUAUAUUGCAUAUUGUUUCUUGAUUUGCUUUUGAUUGGCUUUUUAUUACUGUUAUGUCUACGAUUUUUCCACCCUUUGUUGAUUUUUCUUAUAUUCAAUGUGUGUUUGUUUUGGUGAUACCCUUUUAUACUUGAUUCUUUCUUUGCCUCUGUUUAGCCUGCUAAAUUAUGCUUUCCACCAUUUAAUUUUCCCCCUCCCCCCCCAAAACCAAAAACAAGCAAAAAAAAGUCCUCCCAUUCUCACUCUGAAAGCCUUUACCCAUAAUUCGUCCCCACCAAUAUAUAUAUGUAUAUAUAUAUAUAAAUAUACUGUUUUGCCUUUACAAACAUGCCAUUUGUUUGUAUGUGUUCUUAAAAAUAAGAGGAAAGACAAAAGAUCUUUGUUGAUGCUAUCUUGUUUUUCGCCCUCCUUUUAUUCCUUUUAAUAGUUCUUGAAUUUUUUUAAAGUCUAUGCUUUUGCUAUUUAUUUGAGAGCUCUUCGUUAAUAAUUCCUUUGUUUUCUUGUUUGCCAGUGUUAAUAUAGCAUUUUUUAUAGUAUUUUCAGCCUUUUUAAAAUUGAUUUUGUCUCAGUCAGUAUUUGUUUUUCUACUUGUACUGAUGUUUUAUUUAUUUCUGCUGCUAUUUCCUAUAGGCCUUUCUUCAGUCACCAUUGCAAAGUCGCUACAAGGUAUGUUAGUGCUCCGUUUUACAGUCAUCUUGGAAAAAAAAAUGAAAGCUUGAGAGUAGGAAAGAUUUUCCCCAAAUGAGAAGCAUAAUCAACUUACUUUUGGUGCUAAUGGUGAAGAAAUAAUGGGAUUUUAGUUCUGUUAUUGAGGUUGCAAUGCUUGUUUCCGUUUUCAAUCCAUUGAUGAUUACUCUCAUUCAAGUUUAUACAGAUUAAUCUGUACUUGUUUGGCUUACCAAUUGGAUUUGCGGAAUAGGUCAUAUUUUAACGGCGUGUUUAGCCUUCUAAUGCUCUUCAAACCAAUGGAUCUGCAUUUAAAAUGCUGAAAACAUACUGCCAUAGACGAACGAUUGAUCCAAGCGCCCUUGAGAUCCUGUUCACUAUUAAUAUAUUCUUGAAUGGCAGCUUAUUGGGUUGAUGCAACUGUCUCCAGUCAUUGUAUUCUUUAUAGAUUUUUACUGUAUAUUGACAUACAACAUUUGGCGUUAAUAAGUACUAAAAUAUGUAGGAAGUACAAUAGCCUUGCACAAUUGCAUCUAAAUCAGUUGCCCUGGUGUAUAAUAAGCGUGAUUUAGAUAGGGAAAAGCUUAAUGCCAAGUACAACUGCAGUGAAGUACAACAUGGACAUUGAAAAUCAUCAUAUGUAUGUGCAUUUUUUCUUGUCAACAUUUGUUUGUUGUGCCAUCAAAAUCAUAUGGCUGGAGCAGAAUGUAACUUGGCAUAGAAACACUGAGUACAGGAAACUAGUAAACACUGAGUACAGGAAACUAGGAAACUUGAAGUUUGAUCUAAUGUUAUUCACAGAGCUCAAAAUGAACACAAAAUUCCCUUGGACAGUUCCACUUUCUGAUAUACUAAAGCUACAUGUUCCAGGAAGUAACGGUAUGUUAUGCUCUAAUCCUUUUCUGCCAAAUUCAAAAAGAUUUGCUACAGUCAUAUCUCACAAAUUUUAUUGUUUAUCAUUUAUACCAGAUAAAAAGGCUAAAUACAUCUUAUAUCAACAUGUUUGCUCAUCAAUAAAGCCAAACAUUGCUCAAGAUGAAGCAGAUUCUAUAGCUUUUUAUCAAGUUUAUAACAAAAAGAAUAGAGACAAAUUUGUAAGUCUAUGUGCUCGGUCCUUUUAUCCUUUCCUUAUCUAAUCUCUUAUACACUACUUUACACACUUUAACUAUUUUCCCCCACCUUUUUCCUUAGAAAAUUCCAAAGUUUCUCGAACAUAUCGUAGAUAGCAAUAAAACUCCAGUUGUCACUUUAAGGACUGGAUAUAAAGCUUUUCAAGUUGGAAUGCAAGGAAGGCAAUUCACAAGCUAUUGGGAAAUCUUUGUCAAAACGCAUGAGUUGGAACUAGGCGACACUUUGGUCUUCAUCCCAGAGUCCAUUAAUAGCUUUACAGUCCAGAUUUACAAACCAAAUGGAGUUGAGAAACUUUUCCCUUGGUAUCAUAAGUAUUAUGUGUAUUCUUAUUUGUAGAUUCCUUUCACGUUCUAGCUAUAAACACAGAAUUCAUCUUUUUGUUUAAGUAUGUAUCACUAAUGUCUUUUGUCAAUUAUAUGACAGUAUAGAUUCUUACUAAGAUUUUUGUGCUAUAAUAGUUAGAGUUUUAAAUAUUUUAUUUACUUUGCUUUUCCUUCUUUAUCAGAUAGCACCAACGGAUUUUUCCUUUUUAAUUUAUAACCUUUUAAUUUACCAUGUCAUAUAAUGCAAUAAACAUAAAAAAUUUAUCCAACAAUCUACAUAGAUACACAUGAACAUUAAUAACAAAUUAUUAGACAAACAAACAACUACUUAUUUAAUAAUACCACACCAUAUAAACUAUUAGCAGCAAGCUACAAAAUAAUAACAUCUAUCACACACCAAUUACAGCAAAUUUUUUAGUCAUUUUGACUAUUGAAACUAUCAAACUCUCAAAAGAAAGUAAUAUUAGUUGCCGCAGCAUUUGCUCAUCAACAUCUGCCUUCAUUCUUCAAGCAAUUAGCUGCAACAUAGAUAGACCUCUUAUCUAGAGCUCACAUCACGUAUAUAUAUUGCUACCUUUAAUACAAACACGUCAUAGCAAGAUUGCUUAUUUUAACCUAUCAUUUAAAUACAGACCUUAAUUAUGCAAAUUAAUUUCGUAAACAUCUUAGUUAUCGAUACAUUCUCUCUCUUUUACAUUUCAAAUAUCCAUCCAUUCUAACUAAACUCAAAACAACUAUAUAUUACAAUAUUUAUACAAAACAUUAUAUUUAUAUUUUUUAAAAAUCAGACCUUAAUUCAAAUCCAUCCCUCUUCUCUUAAUUUAAUAUUCCAAAACUAAAUUAAAUUUUCAGAUUUAAGUUUUUUCUAUUUUGCAUUAUGAAUGUUUAAUUAUGAACAAACUCUCUCAUUCUAUGUUCUAUAUUCAUAAGUAAACACCUAGUUUAAUAUGCCAUUAAUAAGUAAUUUAUAACAAGAUUAAUACUUGUCAAAAAAAUCAUCUUCCAAAUGCUUUGAUAUAAAAUACAACGAAACAAAAUUCCAAACAAAAAAUUUAAAAAUCUUAUUUUAUCUAAUAGCUAUCUUAUUUCCAAAAAAAAAUAUUAUUCACUUUAACUAUUAUUCAUGUACGACAUUCGUAUAUUAAAUUUAUAUUAAACACUUAUGAUCUUCUUCCUCAACCUUUGUAUAUCUACAGUCAUUUACUAAUAUUCAUAUAGCAACCAUAAUACAAUAAAAUAUAAUUUUUCCAAAGAUGAGUGGGCACAAAUCUUGUAUUACCGCGCAGCGCGCGGCAUCAGAUUGCCUAGUCAUCUUAAAGGGGCUAUUUGCUUGGCAGUGGCAUUCUAACUUCAAAUGGAUCCAUCAAAGCUCUACCGAAAGGAAGACUCUUUCUCAUUCUGUAGAUGGAGAAGGUUUAGUUACAUUCAGAAUGACUAUAAUGCUUUCUCCUUUGCUAUAUUCAAUUGGUGGAUAACUCUUGAUCUAGUGGCAUCUUCUCUUAUGUCGUAGGCAAUGAUAAGUCCAGUUUGAGAGUUUACAGUCAACCAUUGGUAAAGAUUCAUGGUACAGUAUAAAAAGAAAAGGGUGGAAUAAAUCUUUUUAAGGCUUAGAGCUCUCCUGCCGCAAUGAAAAUGAUUUUGGCUGGCUGCUGGAAUCCUUGUGCAUGGGGUACACUCCUUUUUGUGAUGAAAAUUUUCUUAUUCAGGAAAAGUUUAUCUGACUGCAAAGACAAUUUAAAGGACCGACCUUUAAAUUGUAUUGCCUUCAAGUAGUAAAUAGCAACUUUUUUCAUUAUUAGUGGCUGAAAUAUUAAGAAAUAGUGAUGCUUGUCUGCCGGUUGAAUAGUCAGUCAAGUACUGCCUUGAAGCAAUUCCCUAAUUUAUCUUCCAAAAGGAGGUGCUUGUUGAAACAAUGGGCAACUGCUAGUUUUGGUUCAUUUGGUAUGGAGUAACUGAAGGAUGAAGUUGCAUAUAUUCCUUCUUGUUUGUAGUUCUUGAAAUUACUUGUUCAUCUGUAGUUGGCAAAUCAGAAUAUUUUGAGAUUCUUAGUUGUUGAGUUAGUUCUUAUGCCGUAGUGGAUUAUGGGUGUCUGUUUGACAAUGUUAACAGCACAUUACAUUCGUUUUUGUUGUUAAUUCUCUAAUGGAACUCUGUGUUGGUACACAGUUGUUUGAGUGCUAGAGAUCAGAUGAAUUGUCUGAAGUCAUGCUAGGGAAGUUUUCCUGUGUAUGAGAAGCUAUGAACACAAGCUAUUCUCUCAAUCUGGCGCUAGGGCACUGCUUUAAUUCAGGGUUAUUGAAUGGUUGAUGGCAAAGAUGCCAUGUUAAUACUCUGCUUUUGUUCAUUUUAAUGUUACAUAAAAUUCUCUAGCCUAUCAUGAGAUGUACAUCAUUUUGAGUCUUUAAGAUGAAUUAGGUUAAUGGAUGGUGAGAAGGUCAAAAUUUUUACAUGGAAUUCUGAUGGAUAUCAUUCAAUCCGGAAGUAAAUUUCUGAGAGGAAGGCUCGCAUUAUUGGAAGUACACAUCAUGUGGAUGGCAAUCUCCUGGGGGAAAAGAGUGUCCAUGCCUUGCAAGUGGAACCGAUCAAUAGGCAAAAAUCUUCAAGUACUUAGGAAUGAAUAGGCAAGUCAAAUACCUUUAUGUUACUUGUGAACACACUGAAAUAAAUGAACAAAUAGAUAAAUACAACCAAAAAGAAAUGAACACUUCAAUGUAUUUUGUUUGCUUACUAUAGAUAAACAAGUCAACUUCAAGAACCAGCUACAAGAAUGAUAUGUAACUUCAUUAUACAUUCAUUGCAUACCCUAUGAAAUAAAUAAUAGUAGAUUGUCCAUUAUCUUCACUAAGAGUUCCACUAGGAAGAAAUAUCAAGCUACUGCUUUAAGGCACUACUUAAUUAUCAAGUAAUAUCAUUUAUUGACAUUAUUUUUUAGGUUUCUUGCAAAUUCAGUGUUUUCAGUUAUCUAGUGAAUUCUUACAAGGUGAACUGUGUGGUUUCCGAAAUUGGAAUUGAUUAGAAAUUUUGGGAAGGAUUUUGGUGCCAUAAAUGCUGUUGCAAUCCUCUGUCAGUCUUAUCCUUUCGCUUUUUAUCUGUUUCUUGUUGUUUAUGUUGUUGAACACUUCUGAAUUUGUUUCUCAAAGCUAUCAGGACUAUUUCGAUUGAAACAGUUGUCUUGAACAAAAUCUAGAGUCCUGAUACAUCGUUUAGAUAGCUUGAUCACUUAGAUAAAGUAUGAGUUUGGCUAUAUUGCUGGUGCAAAAGGGUUUCUAGCCUCUGUAACCUGAUGUUAAUCUAUUCAUGGCAAAUUUGGCGCAACCAAAAACAUUGAGAUGCUGAGUUCCAAGGAACAAAGUCAAGUUUAAUAAAUUGGAAUAAUUUAGCUAGCUACUUAUCCUCUUAUAUUCAUGUCAGGAUUAACUGCUCAUGAUUGAAAUCUGCAUUUCAUUCAUUUAAAAAUUAACUGCUCAUUUAUAUUGUUAUCUUUUUAGAAUUGAAUGUUAGUAUUUCUUUUUUACUCUGUUGGUGCCUGAUGGUAGCUACUUUUUUGCUCAAAGGACACUCUAUGAAUAGCAGGGUCAUCACACAUAUUGAGGAACCUCUUCUAUUUCUCUUAAGAAUAUGCAAUGGGGAUGCAACUCCCAAGGUUAGGUCUUAACAUGGCCUAGUUCAAGACCUCCUUCACAGUCGCACUAGAAAAAGUAAGCAGAAAACUUCCUUGGUUGGAGGGAUUUAUCUGGGCUCUUCCAAGAGGAAGAUUCGUGCACUUUAAUUAUAUAGAGAGUGUUAAAUUACAAUUCAGCAUGAAUGUAAUGCUUCCUAUAUUGGUGUAUGCUUAUUAUGCAACUUCUGAUCUGAUGCCAUUUCUUCCUGUGGUUGUAGGUAGUUUUGAGUCUAGUUUGAGAGUCUACUCUCAGAUUGGUAAAUCGUGGAGGAACAUAUGAGGUUGACAGCGAUACAUCUUCUUGAGGCUUGAAGUUAUCCAAGAAGCUCCAAUUGAAAAUCAUUCUGGCUGGCUGCAGGGGUUCUCAUGCAUGAGGUACACUUCCUUUGUGUUGAAAUUUCUCCGAAUCAGGAAAAUUUAUUUGAUUUUCAUCAAUACUGCUGAUUUUUUUUGUGACUUUGUGAAAUUUUCGUGAACAAUAGAAUCAGUAAUGUCUUCUUAAAUUGCCAUUUGUUUUAAACUUGUCAGAAAUUGUGAAUCUUCCACCCAUGGUUUGCAAGGUAAAUCACAGAGCUAUGGAUAAGCAAUACAUGGGAAAGCUACUGGUUGGAUUAAGUUGUGGUAUGUCCUUGCUCCCAUAAUCAUGCAUUUACUUCCUAAAUCUAUUACUUCCACUUUUCUGGAGCCUAUUUACUAUUGCACCAAGUAGAAACCAAAUUUGUUUCCAUUUAGAUGACAACUGCUGCGGAUGAGGCUUGUCAGCCCUUUUAAAGAAACAUAGCCUGGUCGAAUUGAGAAUCUUUCAUCUGUUGAAGGGUUCUAAGUUGGAAAAUGCAAAAAGCUUGAGUAGUAAUCCUCCCACCAAUCCAUCAGAAGUCUGGAUAUAGGAUGUGUAUCAUGUGAUUUAUAGGGAGGAUGCUGUCACAAGCGGAGCUACCCCAACACUAAGUGGUGCAAGAGCUUUGAGAUUUCUGUUUUUGUUAAUAUUCUAAUUGAAUGCUGAGUUGUCACAAUUAAAUUCUAAGAAAACUCUAGUCUACACGUCUGUUAAGGACGUCUUCAAUUCUGUAAUGCUAUCUUCAAUUCUGUAUAUUCAAUCUCAUGAUGCUAUACAUUCUUUUGACAUUUUGCCGAACAGACCCUUAUUGCUAUACGUGAAAGUGAAUUGAGUUUUAGAACAGAACACAUUGUAAGGUAUGUGAUCUUGCACAAUAUAUCUGAGUUUUAGAAAAUUUGGUGCGAAAAGAAUUUGCAAAAUUUGUUAUUGUAGAGAAAAAAAAUGUACAAUUAGAAAUGUGAACGCAGGGCAUCUACCAACAUUGUUUUUGGAGACUAGUACUCUUGAUGAUGUGUUCACCUGCAAGCUUUUGCGUGUGUUUGUAUUAACAGGGACAAGGUAUUAAGCAGUUGCCAACUUCAAUUAGCAAGGUGAUAGGUUUAGUGCACCUUAAUCUAUCAUUUACUACAAUCAAAACAUUGUUAGCUAUGUUUGUAAGGUUUGCAACUUAAGACACUUUUGAGAAUUGACUGUCUCGAGAGCUGAUCAGUUUAGGAUUUUGAUAACCCUGAGACAAUUUGAUCUGUUUGCAUUUGACUCCAAAUUUAAAAUGUCAUCUAAAAUCGGGCAACUAUCUUGUUUUCAAACAUUAAGAUUCGUUAAUGGUGGUCAAACUGACUCAUCAAAUUGAAGAACUGGACUAUUUAAAGAACCUCUCUAAUAGUGGAGAUGACUGACAAACUUGGGAUGGAAGUUUUCCGGCCUCGCGCAAAUUUGAAAAGCUUAAUAUUUUCUGAGAUUGUAUGUAAGAAUUGAAAUCAUUUAGCUUAAUGGGAUAUGAUGGUGGAGAUGACUGAUUCUCUGACUCAACAAUUUAAUAGUGGUCAAAUUGCUGCAUUGCAGAAAAAUGCAAGGUAUCCCCCAACGUUUGGGAAACUGGAAUCAUUGACUUACUAAUGUUCAGGAACACAUGCAUGUUUCUAGUAGCCCCUCAUCGUGCUCCUCUUUUUUUUUUUGUCACAACGAUAGAAUUCCUAUAACCUAAACUAGCCUAUUCUAAGGGGAGGGGGGAGGGGACUCGAUGAGAGUAGAUGGCCAAUGAAAACCGUCACAAAUUGUAACAAAUUUUUUGUGGGAGGCAGGGUUCGAACCCAUGACCUUUUUGCAUCACCAAACCUUAGAAUGCUUGGGAUAACCACUGGACUAAAGGCCCAAUGGCAAUCGUGCUCCUCCAAAUAUAAGAAUUCAAUGCUUAGAUAAAUUGGAAGUUUUGCCCAUGGCUUACAAAAAAUGGAUUUGGAAGUUUAAGAAAAUUAUCAAGUUGCCAAACCAUGGUUAAAAAGGACCUCGAUAUCUGAGUAAUAAAGCACAUAAAGAAUUGAAUUUCUCAUGCACUUUUACUUUUUUUUUAAGAUUUAUUGGGUAAAUUACACAUAACCUUCAUGUGGUUUUUACAUAAUGCUACAUGGCCUUCUAACGUCUCAAAAUAUUUACACAACUUUCCUGUAGUUUCAUAUAAAGUAAAAGUUGAUAGAAGAUAGCCUCGUUAAUGUUAUCAAUUGAAAUACGAAUGUAGACUUAAACGAGAACAACGGUCUAACCACCUUGCAUAAAACUUAGGAGAUUAUGCAGAUAAAUAGAAAAAUUAUAGAAAGUAAAGUAGAUAUUUAUGAAUAUCAUAGAAGGGUUAAGUGGCUAUUAUGAUUCUAUCACAUAAAUUUUUAGAGUGUACUUGGUUCAAUUACAAUAACCGGUAAUACUUUCUUUCCAUUUUGCACUUUACAUAAAAUCACAGGGAAAUUAUAUUACUAUUUUAAAAUCUUAUCGGAUCAUGCGAUAAUAGAAAAAACACACGGGAUUAUGUGUAAUUUACCCUAAAUUUAUUCGUCCUUUUUGCUCUCUGAAUCAUUUCACAUUUGUUGUUGUUUUCUUUAUGUUAAACCUGCCUCACAUACUAUUUUUAUUUUGGCUGCAAAUAAUGCAUAACCUGCUUAUUGUUAUAACUCUUUUAGAGCGUUUACUUGGAUAAGCAGUACAAUCAGUGACUAGCAUAUCUAUAUCCUAUAGUUACUUUUCUUAAGCAAUUACUUUGCAUCCCUUGUUUGAAUUGUAUAGACUAUGGAAAAUUGUUACCGGAUUAAUGAAGUGGAAAGAAAUGUUAAUUGCCUUAGAUUUUACAAACCAAAUUUUUUCUCAGUAUUUUUAUUUAUUUCAAUCGAUUAAAAUAUCAUUAAUGCCUUUUGUUUGGAUUGAAUAUAAAAUGUGCCUUUAUUAGUUAAGUUUAGUUGCUAAAAGCAUAAUCUUCCAAACGUGACAUAUCAAAUUCAAAAAGAAAUGUUAAUUGCUUUAGACUUUACAAUCUAAAUUUUUCUUUUUUUUUUAUUAAUCUUACAAUAAUGAAAUAUGGCCACAUUUGAGAUGGGUUAGUUUUAACAAAAUUAAAGUGAGCAAUUAAGGGAGAAUUGCAAUUUUGGUCCCUAAUAUUUGGCCUAUGUGCCAAAUUGGUCCCUAAUGUUAGUUAAAACAAAUUUACUCCUCAAAAUUUAUGAUUUUAGGUAGAUUUUAGGACCACUAAUGAAAAUGGAAUGGGUGAUUAACAUCAAAGUCAACAACUUUGACUUUGCACUUUUAGUCCCCAGUGUUUUUAUUUUGAAUCAUUAUAUUUCCCUAAUUUUUAAAUAGUGAUAUUAAAGGUUUUAGCAUGAAUUAAGAUGCAAAUUAGAAUAAGAUAGUAUUAAAUAGGUAAUAACAGUUCUAGUUAAAUUUCUUUUUAUUCUAUUCCUUUAUUCCAUUUAUUCAUGUUGAUAAUAUUUCUUUUUUUUUUCUUUUGCAUAGUUAGUCUUAAAUUUGGUAUAAUAUAUGUAUAUUAUUGUUUCUCACUAUUCAUAAUUUAUUGCAAAUUACUUUUAUUAUUUUUAUUUCUAAUGAUAAUUAAAAAACUUAAUUAAAUAUCCCUUAAAAAUAUAAGGAAUAUAUACUUUUUGUAAAUUAAGUUGAUAUUUUUUAUUUUUAUUUUUUGGCAAUUUAGUAAGUUAUCAAUUGAGUUUGUGAAGUUGGCAUUUGGUACACAUUAUAUGAACCAUUAAAUGAUUAUCAAGGCACACAGAUAUUAAAGCAAAUGCUUUAAAACUACAAUAUUGGAACAUUAGUUUUUAAUGCCAGGAAAGACAACAAUAUAGUUUUCUUAAGGAUUUCUGAAAUUACUUCACAUCGAUACUUACCUUCACGAACUUUAUAAGUAAAGUGGCUAACUACAAGAAUUUGAAAUCUACAUGCACAAGUCAUGCAAUAAUUUUUGUAACAGUAACUAUAAUAAACUUAGAUUAUAAAACUAGAAUUGUCCUUUUCUUCCACUAUUUUAUGUUUCAUUUAUUAUUAGCAUAUUAUCAUUCAAUGAUAACUUAAUUUAACAAAAAUAUGCUAUUUAGUCUAUGAUCAUGUUGCGCCAACAACAAACUAUGCAAUUAUUCCCUUUGUUCCACUUUGUUAGUUUCACUUUUUAAAAAAGAUUUUUCCACACAGUUUAAAAUAAAUUAAUCAACAUCCUUCAAAGAAUAAAUUUAGUUUACCUUUUUCUUGAAUUACUCUUACAUCAACAUUAUAUGACUAAUUAAUUACCGCAACAUUUAAGACCAUUAACACAAUAGUAUUUGAUGAAUGGGCUUGGAAUGGUUGACUUUUGAUAUGCCAAUACAUUUGGCUAAAUUAAGUAUUAUACCUAUUACAAUUGAAUAAGAUAGAUCAUAUUAAUUGAUAAUUUGGGAUACAUGAAAAAGAAAAAUAAGUCUAACAAUGUGGGAAAAAGAGAGAAGAAGAAUAAUUAAAAGUGCAUGUAAGCUUGUUAUUGUCUCAUGUGGUAAUCAAGCAGUCGUUCCUGAGAACCGUCCGGAUUUGGGAACGCAUGAUACUGAAAAGGUGCAAAUCUAGUGAAUGUUUUAUGUGAAAAUCAGGUAGUCAUUCCUGAGAAUUGCCUGGAGUUGGGAAGGAUUUGCGAUGAUACAGUAGUUCGUUUGAGUGGCCGAGAAGGAGUACCUCCAACCGGCUCUCUUCAGACUCUGAGGAUGCACCGAGGGAGGUGACAGACAGGAACUCCAUGGUAUAGUCCUUAAAGUAGUUCAGUGAAUCUUUGUCGCUGCGUCUGUCCAAGCCGGAUACGGCCCAAGAUGAAGAGGGGUUCACGGUGGUGGUUUCACAGAAGUAGAAGAGAAGGAGGAAUCAUACCAAAAUUCCUCGGCAAAUUUAAACUAGACAAGCUGCUAAAGCCACGGACGGUUUGCUGUUGGUUUUGACAAUGAAUAACAUCUUAAUCUAGAAUGUUAGGGGUGCGAUGGGCAGAGCUUCUGUUUGUCGUUUAAAACUUUUAAUUCGUUUACAUGGUAUCUCUGUUUUAGUUUUAAUUGAGCCACUAGCGGAGGCGCAGAAUAUAGAGGCUAUUCGUAGAAGUUUCUCUUUUGAAUUUUGUUUAUUCAAUUCUUCCAAUAAAAUCUGGAUUCUAUGGAGGCCCGGAUUCCAUUUUCAUAUUCUAUACAAUUCUGAACAAAUGCUUCAUGUUAUGGUUGCACACGAUUCUUGGGCUCAUAUGGUGAAUGCGACUUUCGUCUAUGCAAAAUGCACGAGGGCUAAGAAACGGGUUUUGUGGUCUGAGCUGGAUUAUGUUGCUAGAACAAUCAAUCGGCCGUGGCUGGUGGGAGGGGGCAUUUUUCAUUGUUAUAGCUUCAACUACGGAAUAUGCGGGUAGAGCUCCUCAAGAUUAUUAGGGAGCUUUUUCUGCUUUUACGCAAGCAAUGCCAAGAUGUUGUCUUCAGGAGUUACCUUUCACUGGCAGUUUGUACACUUGGUGAGGGAUAAGAGCAGGGGCAAGAGUUUGGAAGAGAUUGGACAGAGAGUUGGUCAAUCAGCAAUGGUUAUACUCUCAGCAGGACACUUUGCUUCAUCACCUUAAUCGGGCUACGUCGGAUCAUUUGCCAUUGCUACUGCAUUUGCGGACUGGUACAUCAUCCUUUCCAAAGCCUUUUAAGUUUCAAUGGUUUUGCGUAUCAAGUUUUGAUUUUCUUCAAGUGGUGCGAGAUAGUUGGAGUUUGCCAGUUCAUGGAUUUGGAAUGUACUCUUUGGCAUUUAAGCUGGAGAGGCUAAAGAAUCGUUUGAAGAUUUGGAGCAAACAGCAGUUUGGUGACAUUUAACAAGCUGUAAAGCAACAUGAAUUUGGACGUUUAGCAGAAGGAAAUUCAAUAUGAAGCAGUGCCUACGGAUGAAGCAAGAAGUGCGCUCCAUUGUGCGCAAGCGCGGCUACUUUUAAGUUUGAAAAACCAGGAGGAGUUCUGGAGUCAAAAAGCUGGAGUGAAAUGGUUAAAGGAUGGUGAUUGUAAUACUAGUUUUUUCCAUGCUUCAGUUCGGGAGAAGAGGAUGAAGCUCAUGAUUCAUAAAAUCAAAGACAGUGCUGGAACUUGGAUUGAAGAUGAUGAGCAGAUUGCAGCAGAGGCUGUUAAUUUUUUCAGACACCUUUUGGCUACAGAGGAAGUUGGUGAUGUUGGCAGGUUGCUGCAAAAUAUUCCACCUCUUGUUUCUUCGGACAAUAACAUUCCAUUGCUGCAUGAGAUAACUAUGGAAGCGGUAAAAGGGGUUGUGUUUGGACUUCAUUAAGAUAGUGCCCCUGGUUUGGAUGGAUUUACUGAGUUUUUUUUCACACAUUGUUGGGAUAUUUUGGCAGAAGAUGCGUUAGCAGCGACUAGAGAUUUCAUGGCUAGAACCCCUAUCCCGAAGGGAAUUUCCAGCACUCUUAUUGUCUUAAUUCUGAAAAAAAAUUGAAUCCUUCUACAUUUGCGGACUUUCGGCCCCUUAGUUUAUGUAACUUUGUCGAUAAGAUAUUCACAAAGGUGUUGACUAACAGGUUGCGAACUUUCCUUUCCGGCCUUAUAUCACAGAAGCAAUCAGCCUUUGUUCUAGGCAGAGAUAUAUCUGAGAAUGUCCUUCUUGCGCAGGAGAUGGUGACAUUGAUUAAUAGGAAGACACGAGGCCAUAAGUGCAUUUUCAAGUUAGACAUGAUAAAGGAGUUUGAUUGGGUUUCAUGGCAGUUUCUACGGCUGUUGCCGCAAAUGUUGGGUUUUGAUAACAGAUUUAUAUUGCCCAAUAUGAAUAAUCUCUCUCAGAGCUGGUUUUCUGUACUAAUAAAUGGUUGAUCAAGGGGUUUUUUUCAAGCAUCACGUGGGAUUAAGCAGGGGGAUCCUUUGUCUCUUAUUUAUACUUGCUUCGGAAGCUCUUAGUAGGGGAUUGAAGAAGCACGUGUCGGAGGGUAGUAUUAUUCCUUCUGCAUUGCCGAGGGAAAGUUUGACUAUCACACACUUAUCCUUUGCUGAUGAUGUUGUAAUUUUUACCAGGGAGAUAGAAGAUCAGUUAGGAAUCUAAUGAGCUUUUUGGAGGUCUACCAAAAGGGGUCUAGGCAGAAGAUAGAGAAUCAGAAAAGUUUUUUUAUAACAUCGAGGGGAUGUGGUGCAGCUCAAGUACAAUUCAUUAACAAUUUGACUAGUUUUUGACAAGGUUCUUUCCCGUUCAUGUAUUGGGAUGCAAUCUCUAUCAUGGAAGGCGCAGACACAGGAUUUCUUUCAAUUUCUGGUUGAUAAGUUUGUUGCAAAAAUUGCUGGUUGGAAGAAAAAGCUUCUAUCAGAGGGUGGUCAUCUAAUUUUAUCCUCCAUUCCUUUGCAGGUUUUGUCAAUAAUGGAUCCCCCUAAAGCUGUGUCCAGGAGAUUAGAAAAGAUUAUGGCGAACUUCUUUUGGGGUGAAUAGAAUUUGCGGUGCAAAUACCAUUGGUGUGCUUGGAGGAAUUUGUCUUUUCCUACAGCUGAAGAGGGGCCCAGGUUAAGAGGCUUUGAAGGCAUACAACUUGCUUUUUGCAGGAGACUAUGGUGGAGAUUCUGAUAUGCAGGAUCCUUGCGGACUAAUUUUAUGCACUCUUGAUAUGGUGGACAUGGGAAUGCACUAGGUAGUUCCAGAGUAUGGAGACGCAUGGUCCUUGUUCAGGAGCCAUCGAGCAGUUUACUGAAGUAUUGGAUGUACAGGGAAAACAGUGGUUGGCCUGGACUUUGACGCCCUCAGGAUCGUUCAUUAUUUCGUCAUCUUGGGAUGCUUUGCGAGCUAAGCGGGUGAUUCUAGGGUCAAGAAAGUUAAUUUGGAAUCGUCGAAUCCCUUGCAAAAUUGCCAUCUUCAUGUGGAAAUUGAUGAACAGGUAUCUACCUUUCCCGAAGAUUUUGAGCAAGUUUGGUUUCCAACUUCCUUCUAAAUGCCAAAAUAUUGACUCUCUUGAUCAUGUGCUAUCAGACUGCCCUCUUGCGACAUUUGUUUGGGACUAUUUUGCUCACAUGCUUCAGCUUCCGUUAAGUGUUUUCAAUGGUAUUUGCCUAGGAUUCAGCAUUGGUGGUUUCACAGUGCCGUGUGCUCAGCAAAGGGAGAUGUGCUGAUCAUCAUGCCAUCUUUCAUUUGUUGGGAGCUCUGGAAGGCCAAAAAUCUCUCAAUCUAUGAGGGGCUUCGUGCUGUUUUGUCGGAAUGUCCAAAUGUCCAUCUUCAGCAUUUCUCAGGUUUGUCCAUUUGUGCAGAGAUCCAACAAGGAUGUGAUCUUGGUGCAUUCGGGAUUGGUGUCACAUUUGCACACGAGGAAAACUAAAGUGCCAUGCACUAUAUUUUGGACCAAACCGAUAAAUGGAUAUGUAAAGUUGAAUAUGGAUGGAUCAUCGUUAGGAAAUCCAGGGUUUUCUGGUGGCAGUGGAGUGAUCCGGGAUAUGGUUGAUAAUGUCUUAUUCGGGUUUGCAGUAUUUAUGGGUUUGCAGUAUUUUUUGGGCAUAAGAGCAUCUCCAACGCAAGUGUAAUGUCUGACAUUACACUGGGGGUAUUACACGGCCACCCAUUGCACGCAUCACGCUAAUGAUGCGUGUAAUGGGUGACCUCCACUACAAAAUUCCCAUGUGCCUAACUCACAAUUUCUAGCCAGCAACGUUCAUUCUUUCAUUUGGCCGGCAAGUUUCAUCAGGUUUUUGCAACGGUAAAUUUGCAACUCCAACGGUCAAAUUUUAGCUUUCUAUAUAAACAUACAACACUUUUUUUUUCUUCAUAUCCCACUAUUCUACUCUAUUAUGAUAUCUUCGCAUUUGAGGUAUCAAAUAUUUGUUUAAUUUUCUGCAUAAUUAUUUUUGAAAAAAAACAAUAUAUUUUUUUGAGAGAUAGAAAAAGAUAUAUUAUUCAAACUUAAAAAUUAAUAAUAUCAUUUUUAGAAAAUAAAAUAUUCAAAAGGUAAAAAAUUUAAUGAAAGUUAGUGCUUUAUUUUUUAAAAAUAACAAAAUUAUUUUUAAAAAUUACUUUAUUUAUUUAUGGGAUAUGAGUUAUGCAUUAUUAAAAUAAAUAUUUGAUUUAAUUGUGGACCUAUGCUAUUAUACCUUGUGGAGUGUAAUCCAUUGUGACUGAAAGUGUAAUAAAAGAUAAGAAAGUGGAAUGCUGACGUGACAUGUAGAUUACACUCCACAAGGUAUAAUCCAUUGUGGAUGCCCUAAGACUAAUAUGGAGGCAGAAGCUUUGGCUCUACUUGAGGGUGUGCAGCUUUGUUUGGAACAUGGUUUGCAUUAUGUACAGGUUGAUUUGGAUUCCAAAGCCUUGCAGCUUAUGAUGUUAGGUGGUUGUCAGAUUCCUUGGAAGUUAUGGCAAAACUGUAUCUCGUGUUCAAAAUCUUACAAUUGGCAAGCAUUUCACAUUCUCUCAUAUAUUUUGAGAGGCUAAUGCAGUGGUGAAUGUGCUAGCAAAUAUGACCAGUUCUUCGUCUUGCAAUCUGCGAUUUUUUGCUGCUCAAAUUCCGGUCUAUAUACGCGGCUUAGCUAAGCUUGAUCAGAAUCAUACGGCUUAUAUAAGAAUGGAUUAGGGUCACUUUGUAAGGAAGUAGUGCUCCUCAUUUAAAAUUUCUCUUUCAAGCUAUGUCUUUCCUUCUUCAAUAAAGUUGGGCUGACAUCCCAUCCCCUGCUUUGGGGUUUGCCCAAAAAAAAAAAAAAAGUGCAUGUCAGCUUAGGAAUGCUUAACUACCAUGUUGGCAACAAAAACUAAACUUUUCCAUUUCAUAUUUUAAUCAAAGUACAUACAAUCAUUUUACCUACACAACCGGUGGCCUAGUUUUAGUAUCAGCUAUACCAAACUUUAAGAUACCGCCAAUUCAAUGGCUUUCAUUGUCUGGUUGGUCAAUGAGUGGAUGAGCUAUUGUAUCUAUCGGUAGACAAGCCACUUUGUCUACACAAUAUAAGCAUCGACAGAGAGGAGACAUGAGAAGAAAGGUCAAGUUUCCCAUUUUGAGUUUUUAUGGGGAUGGAAAGGAUAAAAAUGGACAGAUAUGAGCGGAUGGCUUUUGGAGCUACAGUCAAAUAAGUGACCAAAUUGGUGAGAAAUGGAAAAGAGUUGCCAAAAUGCAACUUUUAGGCUCAAAAAUAUAGAGAAUAAGAUAGCAUUAAAUUUACCAAACCAUUUCUUUCAUCUCUUAAUCUUCAAAAGAAGAUUUAAAAACCCUCUAGUCUCUUGCUUCUCAUCUCCUAUUCUUUCUGUGUCAACAAAUUUUUCUUCUCUCACUCCCCUAAACUCCAAAACUAGCUGUACUUAUGCAUUGAUUCAUCUUAACACGUUGCCAGAACUGGGAAUCCAGUGUAAGAAAACCAAUAGCAAACAUGCCCUUUUCAGGAAUAUUGGAGCAGAAACAGUUUUGAUGAGAAAACAUCUACAAUCCCAUGGGGAAAACAAAGGCACCACCAAUUUUCCUGCUUUCAACAAUAAUAUCAAUUGAAAAGAACAAAAACUCGCACACACAGACGAACACACAAGCAAUCGAAACAUUCCUGCUCACUUUUUCUAUGCAAGUGUAAAUGAAUCUGGUAACAGGUCACAAAAAAGGGUACUUUUAUUUCUUAAUCAGGUAAUUUCACAGACAAAUGAUUGGCAGAUGGAGCUAAAGGAUACGGAAAGCCACAUAUCUAGUGGUAUCAUCAAAUAUGAUAAAAUGAAACUACUACCACGUUUGUUAGAUUGUUGAGAGCCAGGGAAGUAAGAGCUUAUAUGUACCACUUAGUGGACCAUGAAUGCAUGAAGGUAAGAUCUAAUUGAAAACUCCAAAACUCUUUUGUCACAAUCACAAAAAUUGUAUGUCUACUUAAAAAUAGACAGCGGACAUGAACUUCCCUCAACCUAAAUUCCCUCUUCAACAUGAUAAUUACUGCAAAAACAUAUAUAUAAAACAACAUCAUAUUUCCAAAAAUACUCA
rnacentral:lncRNA from 1 species